ensembl:scaRNA SCARNA1 small Cajal body-specific RNA 1
AAGCACUUGAUACUAACCAAGCCAUCUUUACCUUUGUUCUCGUUUCGAGUUCAGAGGUAUAACUAGUGAUCGGCUAGGUCUAAAAAGUGCAACAUCAAAACAAGUCAUGAAGUAAUCAAGCUCAGUGUGUGGAGAAUCACACUGGGUUAUAACUCAGAGGCACAAAU